rnacentral:pre_miRNA from 1 species
UUUGUACUCCCUCCGAUCCAUAUUAAUUGUCGAAAUAUUACAUUUAUCUAGACGCUUUUUAGGCAUAGAUACAUCCAUAUUUGAGCAAAUUUGAGACAAUUAAUAUGGAUCGGAGGGAUUACUAA